rnacentral:rRNA from 1 species
GUGAACGCCCUCACGGGCUUAUAACUAUUCCAAACCUCUGUGAACCGUGCCCUUCGGGGCUAUUUUACAAACAUGGUGUAAUGAACGUCAUAUAUCAUAACAAAACAAAACUUUCAACAACGGAUCUCUUGGCUCUCGCAUCGAUGAAGAACGCAGCGAAAUGCGAUAAGUAAUGUGAAUUGCAGAAUUCAGUGAAUCAUCGAAUCUUUGAACGCACCUUGCGCCCUCUGGUAUUCCGGAGGGCAUGCCUGUUUGAGUGUCAUGUAGACUCAAUCCCUCGGGUUUCCGAGGAGAUUGGACUUGGGUGUUGCCGCUCUGUCGGCUCGCCUUAAAAGACUUAGCGGGAUAGCACCGUAGUCGGCGUAAUAAGUUUCGUCGGUGAAGGUUGUGAUGACUGCUUACAAUCGCCCUCGGGCAAUUUUUGACUCUGACCUCAAAUCAGGUAGGACUACCCGCUGAACUUAAGCAUAUCAAUA